CCUACGGGUGGCAGCAGUGAGGAAUAUUGGUCAAUGGACGAGAGUCUGAACCAGCCAAGUAGCGUGAAGGAUGACUGCCCUAUGGGUUGUAAACUUCUUUUAUAAAGGAAUAAAACGCGGCACGUGUGCCUUUUUGCAUGUACUUUAUGAAUAAGGAUCGGCUAACUCCGUGCCAGCAGCCGCGGUAAUACGGAGGAUCCGAGCGUUAUCCGGAUUUAUUGGGUUUAAAGGGAGCGUAGGUGGGUUGUUAAGUCAGUUGUGAAAGUUUGCGGCUCAACCGUAAAAUUGCAAUUGAUACUGGCAGUCUUGAGUACAGGUGGGGUAGGCGGAAUGCGUGGUGUAGCGGUGAAAUGCAUAGAUAUCACGAAGAACCCCGAUUGCGAAGGCAGCUUACUAGACUGUGACUGACAUUGAUGCUCGAAAGUGUGGGUAUCGAACAGGAUUAGAUACCCGGGUAGUC
rnacentral:rRNA from 1 species